AUUCUUGUCAACAGCACAUAUACUAAAACUAAAAUGAUACAGAGAAGAUCAGCAUGGCCUCUGAGCAGUGAUGACGUGCGAAUUCAAGAAGCGUUCCAUAUUUUU
rnacentral:snRNA from 1 species